GUGAAUCAUCGAAUUUUUGAACGCAAAUUGCGCUUCCGGGCAUCCCGGGAAGUAUGCCUGUUUGAGGGUCAGUAUUAAUAUAAAAUCGGAUUAGUUACAAAUUUUUACGUUUCCGGAGUUUGUGCUAUCUUAACAUUUUUGUUUAAGAGGCUUAAAAUUGACAUUUUUUUCGCAUGUUUUAACGGACAUAAUUUUUUUUUAUUCGUCUAUUCUUAAUGCGAAGAGCUUAUGAGAUUCGAUCACUUUGUGUG
rnacentral:misc_RNA from 1 species